GUCUACGGCCAUGCCACCUGAACAAGCCCGAUCCCGUCUGAUCUCGGAAGCUAAGCAGGGUUGGGCCUGGUUAGUACUUGGAUGGGAGACCACCUAGGAAGACCAGGUGCUGUAGGCG
rnacentral:rRNA from 1 species